rnacentral:rRNA from 1 species
ACAAUGAAGAGUUUGAUCCUGGCUCAGGAUGAACGCUAGCUACAGGCUUAACACAUGCAAGUCGAGGGGCAGCAUGGUCUUAGCUUGCUAAGGCCGAUGGCGACCGGCGCACGGGUGAGUAACACGUAUCCAACCUGCCGUCUACUCUUGGACAGCCUUCUGAAAGGAAGAUUAAUACAAGAUGGCAUCAUGAGUCCGCAUGUUCACAUGAUUAAAGGUAUUCCGGUAGACGAUGGGGAUGCGUUCCAUUAGAUAGUAGGCGGGGUAACGGCCCACCUAGUCUUCGAUGGAUAGGGGU